UUAGAUUGAUGUACACCAUUGUUUAUCUUCAUGAAAGGUUGUAAUCAUACCUGUGCAAGCUGUGUUGAUUUCAUUUUGAAAUCUUAUCACAUGAACAGAUCAGUGAAAUGCUAUCAAGCAUUAUAGUCAUGCAGUAAUCCAUACCCUACUCGGAGUGGAAGUUUUGUGUUCAGGCUGAUUACAGGAUAAAUCUCAUACAAUCAGUGCAAAAACUUUUCUGAGUCUGAAGGAGGCCACCUGGGCUGUACUUGAUAGCGAUAAGAAUAUCGGGAAAACAAUCAUGAACACC